AGUUUGAUCAUGGCUCAGAAUUGAACGCUGGCGGGAUGCUUUACACAUACCGUCGAACGGCAGCACGGACUUCGGUCUGGUGGCGAGUGGCGAACGGGUGAGUAAUGUAUCGGAACGUGCCUGAUAGCGGGGGAUAACUACGCGAAAGCGUAGCUAAUACACAUACGCCCUUCGGGGAAAGCGGGAGCCUUCGGGCCCUCGCACUAUUAAGAGCGGCCGAUAUCCAGUUAGCUAGUUGGUAGGGAGUAACGGCUCGCAACUAGCUAAUCCGGUAUCGGCCCUCUAAUAGUGCGGGCCGUCGCUGCGUGGGGUUAUCCCCCGCUACAAGGCACGUUCCGGCCUACAUUACUCACCCGUUCGCCAGUACUCGCCACCAGUGGCCGACCCAAUCCCUGGCGACGCUUGCCUCCGUCAAUCUGAAUCAUGAUCAAAC
rnacentral:misc_RNA from 1 species